UACGGGGGGGGCAAGCGUUGUUCGGAAUUACUGGGCGUAAAGGGCGUGUAGGCGGCCAACUAAGUCCGACGUGAAAUCCCCAGGCUUAACCUGGGAACUGCGUCGGAUACUGGAUGGCUUGAAUCCGGGAGAGGGAUGCGGAAUUCCAGGUGUAGCGGUGAAAUGCGUAGAUAUCUGGAGGAACACCGGUGGCGAAGGCGGCGAUCCUGGACCGGGCAUUGACGCUAAAGCGCGAAAGCCAGGGGAGCAAACGGG
rnacentral:rRNA from 1 species